AUUUUCCCGCUAGAUCCAGAGAUUUUGGGUUGUGAUCUAGCUAGGAAAUUUGCCAUCUAGAGGCUAAUGUUUUAGUGAAAAUGCCCAGUUAGGUAUUUUGGGGGGGUAUAAUUAUUGUUCCAUUAUUUGUAUUAUUACUUGAAAUAUCGCGAUUUAUUAAUGGGGCCCUGAUCUAACGAUUAUUUGGGGUGAAUCUAGCGGUACUGAAAAAAGUGAGGGGAAGAGAGAAGAGAGAAAGGACGGAGAUGAUGAGGGUGGCCCUGAGUGAGAUGGGGUGGGAUGUGAAUGGGAAGAUUGCAAGUUAACUAGGGUUAAUUUGCCACCUUGAGAUCAGAAAAAUACGGAACAUCUCACUCUCCAAUACGGAAUGAAUCUAUAUUUGAAGGGACGGGUGGCAACCCUAAAUUAAAAUUUCUGUAACCUGCCCUGCCUUGAUAGCCGUUGCCUGCUUGUGGAGGCAGGAGGAAUUAAGAGGGGUCGCGUAAGCGUACUGUACACGCACAAUUUCAUUCCUCAUUACCGAACGAUUCCGUAUUUUAAGGGACGGGUGGUCACCAUUAGUCUCCUUGGUGUCACCCUAUAUAUAUAGCGAUCGAGGUGCUGCUGCUGGGCCUGAGUGGUGAAGCAAAUGAGAUAAUUAUAUAGAAGUCAUGAAGAGUUUUCUGGAAAAGAUGUGGUGUGCAAGAAAUAGGGAAUAGGAAGAUUUGUAAUGGAUACUGCUUGUUUUGUCUUUAUUUUUUUACAGGUUGUGCCGAUAUUAAAGGCCUGACGCUCCAACGGGUCACCUGUCCAGCAAGAGCAAGAGCAAGAGCUGGCAAGUUGAAGUGGCAACACUGGAGAGGGUAGUAGAGCAGCGCCGCCGCCAUCUUGUGCCGCAGCUGUGUUAGCGACGGUGUUUUCGCUGCCCCGAGGCUCAUGUCGCCCAGGCCAUCGCCGUAAGAAGGAGGAAGAUGUCUGUGCACUACAAGUUUAAGUCGGCGGUGGAGUAUGACACUCUGCCUGUGGACGGCGUGAGCAUCAGCCUUGAGGACCUGAAGGAGGCCAUCAUCCAGCAGAAGAGGCUGGGGCGUGGGCAGCCUUAUGAUCUGCAGAUCACCAAUGCUGAGACCAAGGAAGGUCAAAAGAAGAAAAAGAAGAGGUAAACAACACCAGGAGAUCUACAAUUUUCAUAGACUUGAGAAAAAAAAUUUUGGACUGUGGUUCCACAGCACGGGGUGUUCUCUUAUCUUGUUAAUCAAGUAGUAAGCAAACCAGCUCUGCCAGUCCAUUUUACGAGUCUAUUGGUGGGCCAUCUUCCACUGCUCCUCACUCCUCAGCCACUGCCGUCGUCUGUUUGUUUACAUGCAGCUGUUCAGUACCCAGGUACCUACGCUCGUACUCAACCGUUUUCCAUUCUUAAGGACAACCAACAACUACCGGUACCGGUACUAACGGUUCCAGCUAUACUGUACGGUACCGGUACCAGACUGCUCGGUACCGGUACCAAUACUAGCCAGUCGCUCAUGGUGUCCCUCAUUUCUUCCUUACAAGAGUGAGGCUGAGACUUAGUGCCUGAGUGGAUAUCUUGGUGAUAUGGAUAUUCUCUCUCUCUCUCUCUCUCUCUCUCUCUCUCUCUCUCUCUCUCUCUCUCUCUCUCUCUUCUCUUUCCACUGAAUGAGGUGAAUAUUUAUUUUUUGAUAGAAACCUACCUCUUGUUUGAUUUACAGUUUUUGAUUUACGUGACCUCUUCAAGGACAUAAUACUCGCGUAAAUCGAGAGUUACCUGUACCAUUAAGAGUUUGAAUAGGUUACUCAAAGCAAACAAAAGAGUCUUGUUAGUCAGGGACUUCAACUGCAAAGAAGUAAAUUGCCAAACACUUGAAAGUGGAGGUAGUGAGAUGGCAUGGGGGGAAAGAUUUCUAAAACUGACUUUGGAAAACUUGAAUCUUUCAUUGCUAAACGCUUGCAGCGAGCGUUAGGCGUAUUUGCUGGUGUUGCUAAAUGCUCGCUGUGAGCUCCACCUGCACUCAAAUCUUCCGCUUAUGAGUGUUCCAACACUAAUUCUCACAACACAGGAUUGCCAGUUGAGUGGGUUCUUCACUAAAUUUGGUGGAAAAUCAUAUCAGCCCAGUGCGGCAAAUCUACGGACGAGUAACUGGUGGAUGUUCUUGCCCAAUAUAGCGGCAUUUUUUAAUAACCUCACCUAUCACCUGACUGAUUCUUUGACCAAAUAGUUGUAAAUAUUGCAGUUGGCAAUACUCCCUUGCCAGAAUCUGAAGAAAAGAUGUCCGCAGUUCCCUCAAUAUGGCUGACGUAAGUGUUAACAUUCAACACUCCCUGAACGUGCAUGUACGUUCGCAAGAGAGGCAUACAUAACCGACUCCUAUAGAUCUGGACCUCCUCUUUUUAAUGGUGUUUUUGGUUAUUAGCUGUGAUGAAUAGUUUUUGAGAUACAGAUUAAAAGAGACCCCCCAUUGGGCUGCCCGACUGCACCUGAGGGGAUAGUCGCGUCCGCACCGCGCGCAAGGAAAGGGUUAAUGAUGCAGUGGGUGACUGAGAAUACAAGAUACAGGAGUGAUGACAAUCCAGCGAGACUGGACCAGGUGCUGACCAGGAGAAUGAACUUUUGAAAUGAAUUAAGAUACGUGUGCCCCAUGGGAAAAAGUGACCUUGUGAUAAUAGAGGAGGACAAAUCAUAUAAAAGAAAAAGGAGAAACUACAGGAAAGCAGACAUAGAAAACCUUCAGAAAUAUUAUGAAAAACUAGAUUGGGAAAAGUUAAAGAGAACAAAUGAGGUGCAGGAAAAGUACACUCGGCCCGCGAUUUAACGGAUUUCGGAUUUAACGGACUGGUAUUCUUGGGCUCUCGCAAGUUGCAAGCCCGUCAAUAGUCACUACUCAGUACACUCUGUUGGUCGCGUGCUUCUGAACUCUCCACGAUGUCAAAGUGGAAAGGACACUACGAUUCUAGGUGAAAGUACCAGGAUACAUGGGAGAAGGAUAAGGGCAAUACAUGGCAACGAUAAUGUCUUCGAUGAUUUAUACUUAAUUAAGGUAAGUUUAACUAUUGGAAUUAGUUCAAUUUUUUCCACUCCGCCCGGGAAUUGAACCCGGGCUCUUGGUAAGAAAAGUGUGAAUAAGCAGAAGAGAGGAGGAGGAAACGUGCAGCAAUAAAACCGUACAGGUCACAAGAAGAAGAAGACGCGGCCACGUGGCGCAGCGUGAACACCAAACACAACACACAAGCCACCAGUGUGCCAGGCACCUCGGCGGUGAUGGUUAAAGCGGCUAUUACUUGGGAACGAUAUUGGUGGAGCAGGGUGCUGCCUGACAGGGCUGUUCGGCGAUCGUGGGGCAGACAUGGGUGGAUUAGUCUGGGGGUAUUUCUGCUUUGCAGCGGCCCAGUCAGCUGACGCUUUCUGUGGUACAUGUUGGAAAGAACGGAUAUCCGUGGAUGACUAAUUGCAUACUGGUAUUUAUCGUAUAAAUAUUUUCAAGCAAUGGACUUUUUCAAGCAACGGGCCACCCUUCCCCCCUUUUAAUCCGUGAAAUCGAGGGCUGAGUGUAUGAUAUUUUUAUGGAGGCACAUGAGACAGGGGUCAUGAAAUAUGUCCCAUUAUAUAAACCCAAAGAAAGAGGAAAGAAAGAUUGGUUAAAUGCAAGAUGUGUAGGUGCAAAGGAAAAAAAGACUAAGCGCUCAAGAGAUUGAAAAGAAAUAAAAAUCAAAGAAAUAGAGAUUUCCAGAUAGCAAGAAAUGAAUACGUGAAAAUAAGGAGAGAAGAAAAGAAAGGAUAUGAAAAGGAUAUUGUCGAAAAGUGCAAGGAAGAACCUAAACUGUUUUAUAGAUUCAUAAAUGGAAAAAUCAAACCAAAGGAAAAAAGAAAGACUGAAAGAUGGAAAUAAGAUAAUUGAAGAACCUAAAGACAUGACUGAGCUGCUAAACAAGAGCUUCCAGCAAGUUUUUACAAAAGAAUCAAAAUGGAUGUUCAAAUGGAUGAAGUCAUAGUAACUAAAGAGGAGUUAUAUAAAAUGAUGGAGGAGCUGGAAGAGAGGAAAGCAAUAAGACCGGAUGGAGUCUCAGGUUUUAUAUUGAAAGAAUGCAGAAAUCAGCUGAUUGGACUGAUAUAUAUGAUGUCAUAAAAUGCUCAAUAUCAGCUGGUAAAGCACCAAAGGAGUGGCGGAGGGCUGAGGUGGUCCCUACAUAUAAAAGUGGAAAAAAGGAAGAACCUCUGAACUACAGACCAGUAUCAUUAACCAGUAUAGUUUGUGAAAUAUGCGAGAAAGUGAUAAAGAAACAAUGGAUGAAAUUUCUAAAAGAACACAUAUAAUUACAGAGAAACAGUAUGGCUUUAGAAAAGGGCGCUCAUGUGUAACAAACUUAGUGAGCUUUUACUCAAGAGUGACAAGCAUAACACAGGAGAGGGAUGGAUGGGUAGAUUGUGUGUAUUUUUAUUU